GACGAACGCUGGCGGCGUGCCUAAUACAUGCAAGUCGAACGAGGGGUGGACGGGUGAUUAACACGUGGGAACCUACCCGUCAGAGGGGGAGAAAACGUGGAAACAGGUGCUAAUACCGGAAACUGAUGGAGGGACCCGGGGGGCAUUAGCCAGUUGGUGAGGUAACGGCUUACCUAGGCCACGAUGCCUAGCCGGCCUGAGAGGAUGAUCAGCCACACUGGAACUGAGACACGGCCCAGACUCCUACGGGAGGCAGCAGUGGGGAAUAUUGCACAAUGGGCGCAAGCCUGAUGCAGCCAUGCCGCGUGUAUGAAGAAGGCCUUAGGGUUGUAAAGUACUUUCAGCGGGGAGGCGUUACCCGCAGAAGAAGCACCGGCUAACUCCGUGCCAGCAGCCGCGGUAAUUC
rnacentral:rRNA from 1 species